CGAACCUUGUGCUGUAUAAAAGAGCAAAUUGAUGAGUCUUUCAUAAUAGAUUUGAUUCUAUCUGGAAUUCUUCCAUACUCAAAUAUCGAAAUGAAUUUUCAACUCCUUGCCUUCGUUGCUCUCUUGGGCUUGCUUGCUCAUGCUGCUGCUGAUCCCAAUGUAUUCGAUGAUAUCGAAACUGGAUUGAACCAUCUUAUGGGCCACGACACACAUCAUCACUAAUGUAAUUUGUGAUUUGGCUUCAACGAACAAAAAAUUUGUAAUGGAAUAUAAAAAAGAAUAAAUUAUAUUCAUUA